GUGCUUGCUUCAGCAGCACAUAUACUAAAACUGGAAUGAUACAGAGAUUAGCAUGGCCCCUGAGGAAGGAUAACACACAAAUUCAUGAAGCGUUCCAUAUUAAA